CCUACGGGGGGCAGCAGUGAGGAAUAUUGGUCAAUGGACGCAAGUCUGAACCAGCCAUGCCGCGUGCGGGAAGACGGCUCUAUGGGUUGUAAGCUGCUUUUGUAGGGGGGAAAACGCUGAUGCGCGUAUCCUUCUGAAUGUAUCUUACGAAUAAGGAUCGGCUAACUUCGUGCCAGCAGCCGCGGUAAGACGUAGGGGGCGAGCGUUAUCCGGAUUGACUGGGUGUAAAGGGAGCGUAGACGGCCGGGCAAGCCAGGAGUGAAAGCCCGGGGCUCAACCCCGGGACUGCUCUUGGAACUGGGAGGCUGGAGUGUGGGAGGGGCAGGCGGAAUUCCUGGUGUAGCGGUGAAAUGCGUAGAUAUCAGGAGGAACACCGGUGGCGAAGGCGGCCCGCUGGACCGAGACUGACGCUGAGGUGCGAAAGCGUGGGGAGCGAACAGGAUUAGAUACCCUAGUAGUC
rnacentral:rRNA from 1 species